rnacentral:rRNA from 1 species
AGUCUGCAACUCGACUACAUGAAGCUGGAAUCGCUAGUAAUCGCAGAUCAGAAUGCUGCGGUGAAUACGUUCCCGGGUCUUGUACACACCGCCCGUCGCACCAUGGGAGUCGGAAAUGCCCGAAGCCGGUGACCAAACCAAUAAGGAAGGAGCCGUCGAAGGCAGGUCUGAUAACUGGGGUGAAGUCGUAACAAGGUAAC